AGCAGCGAUGGCGACGAGGAGGAAACCGUCGUGGAGAGAGAGGGAGAACAAUCGGAGGAGAGAGCGGAGGAGAAGAGCUGUUGCGGCGAAGAUUUAUACUGGUCUUAGAGCUCAAGGUAACUACAAUCUUCCAAAACAUUGUGACAACAAUGAGGUUCUCAAGGCUCUUUGUUCUGAAGCUGGUUGGGUUGUUGAAGAAGACGGAACUACUUAUCGCAAGGUUAGUAUCAAACGCACUUUUAUUUAGAUCUGAAGUUAUCUGAUGAUUUAACUGUUGAAUCUGAAGAUUUUCUUGGAUCUAGAUUCUGUCUGAUUUGACUUGAAGAAAGUGAAUUUAGGUUUCGUCUUAUACUAAUUUUAGAGCCGAAUUAGAACUUUCUUUUAACAUUUUGCUUUCUCCGGGUUACUAUAUUUAGAUCUCUCCUUUUAGCUUUUUAGUGUGUCUGAAAAUUUAAGCGACUAAGCCAUUAAUUGAUUGUGACAUUGUGCUAUUGUUUUAUGAGCAACAGGGACACAAGCCUCUACCUGGUGACAUGGCUGGAUCAUCUUCUCGAGCAACUCCUUACUCUUCCCAUAACCAAAGUCCUCUGUCUUCCACUUUUGAUAGCCCCAUCCUAUCUUACCAAGUCAGUCCCUCGUCUUCUUCGUUCCCG
rnacentral:lncRNA from 1 species